UUUCAACCAAAUUACUGUUGAUGGAGGUACCAGAAUGAUACUGUCAUUGCUUUUGCCAGUGGGUUAGCUGGAUCAAAUUGGAUCACUUCUAUGAACACUUAUGAUGCUGCACUACAUGAAGCAAGUCUUGAUGCUGUAAUGCAAGGUCUUGCUAAAUCAAUAGCUUGGGAUGGAGAAGGAGCAACAUGUUUAAUUGAGGC